UGGGGAAUAUUGGACAAGGGGCGCAAGCCUGAUACAACCAUGCCGCGUGGGUGAUGAAGGCCCUAGGGUUGUAAAGCUCUUUUACCGGUGAAGAUAAUGACGGUAACCGGAGAAGAAGCCCCGGCUAACUUCGUGCCAGCAGCCGCGGUAAUACGAAGGGGGCUAGCGUUGUUCGGAUUUACUGGGCGUAAAACGCACGUAGGCGGACUUUUAAGUCAGGGGUGAAAUCCCGGGGCUCAACCCCGGAACUGCCUUUGAUCCUGGAAGUCGUGAGUAUGGUAGAGGUGAGGGGAAGUCCGAGGGUAGAGGUGAAAUUCGUAGAUAUUCGGAGGAAAACCAGUGGCGAAGGCGGCUCACUGGACCAUUACUGACGCUGAGGUGCGAAAGCGUGGGGAGCAAACAGG
rnacentral:rRNA from 1 species